GCCGCCGCACCCGCCUCAACCCCCGCAGCGCGGAGAAACGCGGAAGAGCAGGGGGAAACCCCACGGCCACAGCCGCCGCCUGGACUGGGCGGGCCGACCCGCUCACCCCUCCUCCUCCGGACGCGGGCACCGGACUCCCCCCGCCGCGCAGGGCCGCGGGCAGCGCAUGGCAAGUGGGCGGCGGGGCCGCGGGCGCGGAGCUCCGCCUGCGCGGCCCCGGGCGCGGCCGCGCUCCCUCAGCCCUGCACCGCACAUACGUGUAUGUACGUACACACACAGCACGCGGGGGGCCGUGUUUCUGUGAGGAUGCCCGCGCCGGCGUGCCCGUGUUUACUAUACGUGUUUAAAGGGUGGCUGAAUGGAGAAGAAGGAAAUCCCCCGUGUGGCUCCCGCCAGGCCUGUUGCCUUCAUCACAGAUAACACACGGCUGAAGAGAAAAAUGGAUGUUUCAGAGGCCGCUGGAGGGUUCCCAAACUCUCAGGUUUUUUUUUUAUCUCAGAAUUACUGUUGGACUCCUUGGGGUUUGUUUGAAGUGAGCAGUAGAGAAGGCUCGGUGCUGGGUAAGCAAGCUGAGGUCAGGAGCCUGGGAUUCCCUCUCUGAAUGUCCUUCUCCAUCCCUUUCACAGCCCAUGACUGGCUGCAAACCACUGCGACGGAUUGCCCGUGUACCACCCUGUGCCUUCCCCUGUGCUCCUCUGCUCUCAUCGUGUGCCUGGUCUCAAUUUUCCCUCUCUCCUUGUGAUUUUACGAGAAGUGUUUUCCUUCGUGUCAAGAAAAGUGGCCCACGAAGUGCUGAGUUUUGCAGCCAAAGCAGGCUCCCCAUCCCUUUUCUCCUACAGCUUGCCCUUUUGGACUUUAACAGUGAACUGUUGAGUUUGGCCACCCAUGGCCUGCAAUUCAGCCAUCCCAAAGGGACAUUGGCACCAAGAGCCAGCAGCAGCACUCAGAAGGAAGGGGGGGUGGCCACCUACACCUGGAGAUUUUACCAUGAGUGAGCUGAGAAGACAGUGGAGGAAAAGCUAAAAUAAUUUUGCUAAACAGUCAUCAGUGUUGCAUGGCCACAAACUACCCGAUCUGGUAAUGCAGCGGCCAGAGCUUCCGCAGGCAAAUGACAAUGUUUAUGUUAUCCUGUACUGUAAACUGUAAAUAUCCAGCUUGGAGCAAGACCUCCCCAUUGGUGCUAGGUGCUGUACUGGGAUGUGAUAAAAAUUAUUCUUCCUUCAAGAGCUGACAUCAUGCUCCUGGAGCUGCCACAGAAAAGUAAGCAAAGGUGUGACCGAGAACAACAGCAGCGAUCAUGCAUGAUCUCAGGGACAGCCUGGCAGCACAGCAGACCUACAGACUGAGGGGUUUCCGUAAUUGAGAUGCUACAAGAGAAGCCUUAUGGAGAUGCACUUGCAGACAGGAGCAAGAGAAGAAAGUACACUUAGAAUGAAUAAAAGCAUCAGUCAUAGAGGAUCUCUCAACUCCUAGCAGUGACCUUUGAAGUUGAAAGGACACACGGCCUGGACAGUGGCAUCACUGUGCUACUCAACGGAAAAGGAACAGCAUCAUCCUAUGAUUAAGUCUGGCACCUCCUUUCACUGCAAUACCGCGCUCAGACCUUCCUGCUCAGCCCAGACUCUCAAGCCUGUUUAGCGUAACCAGAGCUCCCACCACGCGCUGAGGUCUGUGUAUCCUGAGACAACAUGUUUCUUAAGGUAAUGCCCACUAUAAUCUCCAAGUCAUUGAUAAUUGUCAGGGAACUGAGUGGAGGUUUAGAAGCAAGCCAUCAUUAGUUCAAAAAAUAAUCACACUGAUAGAGCCUUAUGCUGCGCUUUGAAGUUUACCUUGCACGGACUAAACCUUUUCACAUCAGAAAGCCUGUGCAGGAUGGAGCCUCAUUGAAAAGCCUGCUGGGAAAAUUACUGAGCAGUCAGUCCUUCUGUUAAUAUCCUGUUAAAAAUGAAUGUUUUUAGACUAGAAAGCAAGCACACUCUGAAUAAAGAUCAAAGCCUCACAAGUUUCUUUGUAAAUCUUUUCAAGUAGUUCAGUUCUGCAAUCCCUUGUAACAACGAAGGCUAUUCCAAAGUAUUUCCUAACUCAUUAACAACAUGAAUCUGCCUUCCUCUUUACUAUUAGCAGAGGUGCACAUUGACUGUCCCCAAAAGAUGAGCCAGUUUAGUGGCCGACCCAUUAUUUUCUAACGUAACAAGCUAAUGAAAAGAAUCUUAUUCAGAACCUAGCAGAAGUUUAACAGUGGAGACAGAGCUACUGACCCCCAUCUUCCAGAAAUCAUGGUUCAGAAUUUUAGCCUUUGUACUUCCAAGUGUCAGGAAAGAUUUGAGGUUGAGUUUAACAAUGACAAAAAGUUGGGACUUGCUUCAAAUUUAUAUAUUGAUGUAUAUGUUCAUUAUUAUACAAUGAACAUCAAAUGGAGAUGUAUCAUUGCUACUAAGAACACAGUCUGAUACUGUUUGUGGCUGCUCUGUGUUUAUAUAUUACUAUUAUCUUCAGAUCUCUAUUCGCACCAUUAUUUCUUCCAUAGAUCUACCACUUCUUGUUGUUUUGUGCUGUAUUACACAGCACACAUUUUAAUUUUCACUUGAGAAGCAAAAUCAGUGUGGAAUUUUAACUGCAACUCUUAAAAACUUCAUAGCCUAAUGUAAGAGCAGCACUGCCCAGAGGUUCAACCUAAUUAACAAUAGCCUGAAGGUUUUUACUUCCCAAUACUACAAUGAACUUAAAAGGAAAAAACCUCCUUUUCUUGUCUGGACUGCCCUUACUGGAUUAAGUAGUACUAUGCAAUGGGAGGUCAGUGGAGCCAUCCUCAUGAUUAAGUUCAAGGGAUUAAUAUUUCAGUUCAGUUGGUUUUUUUUAUUUAAACUUUUGGUUUUUUUCAAAGGUGAUAUUCAUGCUGACUACUUCAAACUCAGGUGACUCUCUAAUGACCCAUCAAGUUUAAAUGAACCAUGCAGAAAACUGUAUUUCAGUGAUGUUCAGCAAGCAUCCACAAUGCAAAAAUUGACAUAUAAGGUAAUUUCAAAAAGCUCGAGGAAAAACACAAAGCCUGUCCCAGGGCUAUGCAGAGUAGCUUGAACUCAUGCCCAUUAACUUAGGUUCACUUAAGUCUACAAGAAGACAGUGAUUGACUUUGAUGGGGUUUGGAUCUACAGUACCAGCCACCAUGGAAGUACAGGCAGAAACUAACGAGGUCAAACGAAGGAGCCACUGGCACAAAAUGGCAUCAAGCACAUGCUCCUUGCCAGAGAUCUGAGGGUAAUCAGAGUAUCCAAGGAGAUGUGCAAGAACUGUUUUUCAGAGGUUCAGGAUUUUCAACUGUCUUAGCAACUUAAGGAACUGCAAAAUAUGUCUCUAGGAUGAGGUUGUUGCUUAAAAUCCAAGCCUGCUUCAAGGGACAAAGAUAACAAAUCUCCCAGAGAAGGUCAGAUGCCAUUCUCGCACCCAGACCUUCCUUUCUCUCUUUGUGUACAGCCUCAUCUGGGUUUCUGUUGAGCACCUGAGCUCCAUGAGGAAGGGAAACCUCUGAAGGAGUUUUUCUUUCUUAAUGCUUAGUAUGGGUGAAGGACUUAUCACCUAAGCUCUGUACUAUAGUAUGCUUUUCAUCCUGCCAUGCCGUUUGACACCUUAGUGUCCUCUUGAACAGAUCUCUUAAUUAUAUUGCCAAUAGCACAGCUGGGUUUGUGGUCAGACCUGCCUGCUCCCAGGAGAGGGGAUAUGCACAUUCCCUAGAAGCCAGUGGAGGCCGGAAAAUUAGGGGAUACCACAACUUAGAACCAUGCAGAGAAUCGGUUCCUUUGGUUCGUCCCUUCCCCACCGAUCUCAGUGGGCCACAGCUCAUGGAGGUCCCACUGGGGCCUCAUCCAGAUCUCAAGCCUACUCCAGGAGGAGUGAGCUCUCCUACUGGCGCCAGUGUGGGCUGGAUUUGGUCCCUGGCUUCUCUCCUUCUGCAGCUAAUGCAGUUCAUCCAAGUUUAGUUCACCAGAGGGUCGAGCCUGAACUGAGACGAAUUUCAUGGAACUUCACUAAGUCCUUUGCUUUUUUUCCCACUGAGAGGCAUGCCAUCAAAAUGUAUAACACUAUCUCCUUAGAGCUCUGAUUUGUUUUUAAUCUGAUUUCAUUUCUGUGUACCACUGUUGGUGGCUUCUAUCUUGCAAAAGUUUUGUAACAUGCAAAACGUUAUUUAAGAAAAAAAAAACUGGCAGUAGAACAAAACCUCUUUCUGUUAUAAGAACUUAUCUUUUUAAUGCUCCAUCAGUGUUUUAUUAUUACUUUGGUACUUGACAUCUUCCAAAAGCAUGAAAAAGUUCUUGAGAGGUGUAUUCUCUGAUGCCAAUUCUGAUCACAAUCUAGUUGAAGAUAAGUUUAAUGAACACUGGAAAAACAAAGGCCUUUCAUAAGUGAUCAAGUUAUUUGAGGCAGCAAAAUACUUCAAAAACAUUGGUUGCUUGGUUUAAAGCCCUAUCUCAAAUACGUGUAGAGAACACAUUUUUGUUGGGGAUAACAGAAAUUUAUCCUGCAUUUUGGGAGUAUUCCAAAUGAUGGUAGGCACGUAUCAGAAAUGAAUGAGAUUAUUAACUUACAAAACCCCUUUUAGAACAACAACUAUAAAAUGUCAUCUUUUCCCCAUCUCAUGUAAAUGUAUUUGGAACUACAGAAAUUCAGACAACCAUUAGAUUUAGUGAUGGUGAAGGAAUAAUUCAGUCAUCUGCUACUCUAUGUAACAGUAAAAAGAUUAUUCUGAGUUAGUUACAGAAGUUAUUCCUAAAAAUUUCUUAUCACUUAUGUUAUUUAAACUUUCUUACAUAUCAAUUAGUUUGAAAUAAUAAGUCUUUAGGCUAUCCAUUAAUUGCAGCACUGUAGACAUGAUCUGUAUUUAAAAUUAUGCAAGGAAAAUUAAGCCAAAGCACCAAGCUGUCUUGGCUAACAAAAAAGGUUUCAUCAGCCCUUCGGAUAAAGAAGGAGAGAGAAUGGGGGCACUGAAUUCACAGGAGAACUCUUUCUCAGUUUACUGUUCUCUCUCGUCACACGUUAACACAGACUACCGAAGCCACAAGCCGCUAUCCGCGUGCUCAAUCUGCAGUGUUGCAUUGCCAGCGCAGUCAUUUUCCCACUGUACGGCAUGACUGUUUUCAAACCAAAAAGAAAAGAACUCGGGUGAUUAAUGCAAAGGAAGGACAGCAACGUAUCUAACCUGAAGGACAGCUGAUUUACAGGAUUCUGCAGUGGGAUCAUUUACAAAUGCAAGGUAAAUGCGGAUGGGGAAUUUAAAUAGUUUAGUCACUCUCUUACAAGUCGGAGGGAGGCUGGUUGCACAGGAACAUCUGGUCUGUAUCAGGACAAGACACCGUUUUCAGUUUCUCCUGCUGGUAUGGCUCUAGGCUAUCAAAGAAGGCUUCAACCCACUCUUUUAAUUCUUGCUGUUUUUGCAGAGCAGAUCUUAGGACAACUGAAUUUCUCUUGUCUGCUCAUCUUUUGCUUCGCUGCUACACUGAAACUACAAUGUGGCAUUUGUACCAUUAUAGCUGGUUCACGCUGUCAGAGGCCACAUCAGUCAGAGCUGCUGACGGCGGCUGCUUGUCCUCAGCAGCAGCCAUGGAAAGUGGGAUUAUUUUUAAAAGAGCAGCCAUUAAUUGGUAGGAGGUUUUUGUCAAAUCCUCUAUGCCUGCGGCAUGAACGAGGAGCUGAAUAUAACAUUCAGUGGAUUCAAAUGGAUUUUGGGAAUGGUGUCUUCCUGCCAUAGAAAUUAGAAAAAUAGCAGCUGAAAUAUUCUGUAUUGCACAGUGUGCCUGACGGAGCCAAUCACACCUGAGAGCGACGCUUCUUUAAAGACAGACAAACUCACUCUCUCAGUCCUCCCUGCGUGUUACAGAGCUGCUCCAUCUUGCUGUCUGUGCUUAACCGCACUUUUUAAAAGAAAAGGCAGAGCACCAGACAGGCAACUUUCUGUGUGUAAUACAGCUCCUUCAGUCCUCAGACAAAAGCAGUUUACACUUGUGUGCACAAAGAUGAUGUCCCCUUUAUCAUUCUGCUUAGCCACCAGGAGAUUUCCUCCUGCCAGUAUCCUGCGCUCGAUAUGGGACUCUCUUAAAAGACCCUAAAAAUGUUCUCUAUUAUAUACAUGCUUAUAAAAAAACAGGCUCUUACUAAUAUUGAUAAACGACUACAGGAGGGAAACAAGGGUGAACACUGAGUCAAUCCACUCAUGAUGUGUCUGUGUGCUUGUGGACAGAUACACUAACAGAACAGGGGAAAGACGGAAAGCGUCUGAUUAUUUCUAAGUAAAUCAAAAUAAUGACUUCACUGGCAUAAACACAGAUUCUUGUAUAAAAAUUCGUGUUACUGAAAUAUUCAUACAAAAGACACUGUUCAGGGAGGGUGGGUAAUAAAAGGGUCUUUGGUGAGACGUUUAUCAAAGAUCUCUUUUUUUUCUGAUCUCUAGUGUAUUGUAAGAGAGGGACCUGCAGAAAGUGUCAGGGUAAUGACAGAACUGGACAUGAAACUGGCCGUUGUCGUGGUGGGCACCUCUAACAGAUGAUCGCACCAGGGAGGUUGGGUGGUGACACUCGCUCACCCAGAAAACUUUUCUAACAGGAAUACAGCAGGGCACAGAAUACUUCAACUUCUUCAGAGGAAACGUUCUUAUUUUACAGAAUAUGUUCUCUUCUUUACUGGGGACUGGAUGGGAAGACAGACACCUGUUUCACCCGAAAGAGCUGGACCUCUGAGAAGGUUCGCUGCUUUUUCACACUAUAUCAGUUCCUGCAGCAGCCAACUGAAAGGAUCUUGGCCUAUGUAAAAUCCUCAAACAGAGUUUAUAGCAGUGAACUAAAUCUGCUUAUGAGGGAGUUGCAACUAUUAAAGGGCAGCUGAUAUUCCAAGAAAUUAACCCCAGUCAUAUUUAAAAAGUCACCAAAAAAGUAAAAAAAGCCUAGUAAUAAUUAAAAAAAUUGAAUUAAUUUUCAACCAAUUAGUAUUUUCAAGUGUGAGCCACAGUAGCAUCAGUCUGAAUACAAAUGGGAAUGAAGGGUCCUCCAGGCCAGGAGAUGUUAACGUUGACAUGGAAGUGGGGAGAAGUUACUGCAGAAUUUAUUCCAUUAUGCCAUGGAGAGCGUGAGCCCCUGCUCAGAAUUACAGUGAUUCCCCAAGAAAAAGACUGACAGUGAAUUACCGUUCCCAGGAGCUUCUACAAUUUCCAUGCCACUUAGCAUUACAGGCUCGUACAUCUAUCACACCUCAACUUCAGCAGCACCCAAGCUAUGUGGUAUAUGGUGUAUUACUAAAAAAACGGGGAAGGAUUUAAUUGCCACCAAGGCCAUCAGGCCUGUCAUGAACACUGAGAUUCCUGAAACCUGGUGUCUGCUGUGAAAACUGAACCGGCAGAGUUUUCAGCAGAAAGGAGCAUUUUAAGAGCAGAAAUACUAAACUGAGAUCUCACUGACCUAUAUAGCACCAUGCAGAAUAAAACUCUGAUCCAAACAGGUCCUCUUAAAUAUACUCAUAUAAAUAAUCUCAAGAAGGACCACAGAUAAGCUAUUCUAUAUACUAAUAGUUUCUAGAAAUACUAACCUUCAGUAUCAGCAGUUUGUGAAAUAAUUUGUCCUAUGGGCUUCACGCCGUAUGUUUUAUUCAGGCAUUAACACUCACUUGGUGAAAAUAAAGCUGUCAGAAUGUGAGCUACCACAUGCAAUAUCAUUCCCAAGGGUCAUACAGUAAUUAAACAUGGAGGCUGACAUUGCACCACGCAGAAUUCUGGUUGCGUAUAACAGUUAUUAAAAGACUGCCAAAAAUCCACGUUUAGAAAGAAAUGCCAGCUUGAUUCUAGACAACACCUACAUAUGGUUGAAGCCCCACUGAAAAACUCUGUCAUGCACUUAAGUGUUCAUUAGAAACACAGCUUAAAGGAUGAGGAAAGCAUAGCAACAGCUUCUAGGUCCUACUUUUUAGAGCUCUCAUGAACCAUCCCUACCCAGCCAAAAUGUCCUUGUGGAAAAGCCAUUUUGCAUGAAAUAAAAAAAGCUGCAUGUUCAGACAAGACUUAUUAGUCUACGUUCUCUUCUUCUGUCUCAGAAGAUUUACCUUACGUUCCUGUUAUUGACAAACAUAACUGUUAACUAAACGGAAGUUCCUCCUAUAGAUGACUAACGUUUAAUCGCUAGGGGAUUCAGACAGUUCCUGAAUGAAAUUGUAAAUUUAGGUCGUUUCUCUAGCUGUUAUCAGGGCUUAGAAGGAUUAUAUGCCUCUCCUGCAGAGAAAUAUUCUCUAAGGUCAUUAGUUUUGUUCAGCCCAAAGCCAGUGGUUUCUUACAAGGGAGCAAGAGCUGAGAUCCUCCCUUAUGCCCUGCAGGAAAACUCGACUCUUCCCUCCCGUGCACCCUCCUCCUCCUCUCCAGGUACUUCAGGGUGUUCAAAAUGCCUUGCCCUGUGGUUGCAGCAGGGACAGCUUAGGGCAGAAAGGGAUGCAAGAAAAAAAAGCUUCCACCCAUCAUUCUCCUAUUUGCUUUGAAGCAAGGGAAACCUCAGGGUGAUGGAUUCCUUCACCCCAGUUUGGAGAUCCCUGCGUACUCAGUGCUAAUCCAUUUUGUCUCCUAAUUUUCACGUGCAAGUAGGGUACACUGAAUGGUAAUUGCACCAUGCACAGCUUCCCCUGAUACCAUUCCCUUUACACAGUCUAUGAGGCUCAAGUCCUGAGAGUAGGACAAGGCAAAGAAUAACUCUGGUGGCAUUGUAAGUGGUUACAUGGCAUCACAGAAGGUUCUUCCCUGAGAUCUCAUCUCCUUCUAAGUGUGCAAUUGCCUAGUUCCCCAGCAUGCUCCCAAGAUAUCCUAAUUUGACCCAGGCAGGUGAUACAAGGUUGGCCUCAUUUUGUUCAAAAUGUAAGUGAUGUAUGACAAGAAUAGAGUUAAAACGAGUACUUCUGGUUUUUCAGGUGUUCACUGAGUUGUUUCAAGGCAGCUCAAAUCUAUUCUUAUCCUCCAGCUUUUCAGGAAAGGAAGACAGAUCAUCCCUCAGGAAGAGAAAUCAAUAUUCUUGUGACACUUAAACACAAACAACAAAGAAAUCCCAGUUCCCUAGUGAGCCAUUGCCAAUUUAGUUUUACCAUCCUCAGUAAGUCACUCUUGAAUACUGACAAGGUGCCAACAUACUCAUAAUGGGCUCUACUUUCUUUUGUCACAACUACUUUGCUCAGGAAAUGUACACUUUUAGUUGCCUUGUCUGCCUUCAAGAGGAAAACAACAUUCAUGAAAUCAAGGCCCCACCUAGCAGUUUUAACCUCUAACCGUAUCACGAUUAGAGAACAAAACAAUAUUUAGAAUUGUGUUAUUUUUAAGUAGUGUUUGAAAAAAUUACCACUUAAUUUGCAACAAUAGAAACAUUAAAAUAAACCAUAAGCAUGUAAUGAUAUGUGUAGAUACAUGAAGAAUAUGUCAGUGUCCAUGAGGGCAGAGACAGGUGAUUCACAGCAAAAAAACCUGACAAAUCAAGUUGUAGUCACACUUCAUAAAUCAAUGAAACUUACUUUGCAUUUGCCUUUCAUUAAAUCUAGAAGUCAAUCUGUAUUGUGCAAGUCACAGAUCAAAUGUACAGAGUGGGUUCCCUCUUCCUUGCCGGUACAUGUCCAUAGAAUCAUCCGUGGUGAGCAGUUAAAAACCAACCAACCAACCAACAGCCCCCGGACAGCCUGAUAAAACAUCCUGGGGGGAAAGCAGAAGGAACCACCAUAUGGAUGGUGGCCGGGAAGCAAAACAGUGCUCACAGCAAACACGUUCCUUCACCCCUGCUGAAGGUGCAUCGCUGCCAACACUGGUACCAGCACCACACAGACUGGAAGAGGAGCAGCCCCAAAAACCAGCCUUGGCUCUCAUCAGGAAGGACUAUCAAUUACACAACAACUCUUACGACCUUGUGUGGGAUGGUGAAAAGCCACAGAAGGAUGUUCCAUAGCAAGGAGGAGCUGCAGCUUUCUUGAGAAGGCUCCAUUUACUCCUGCACACGUGUGUGCACUGAGACUGAGGACCCAGAAAAGCCAGCACUGCCUGCCUACCAAUUAACCAAAAUCCUUUGCAUCCAGGAAACUGCAGCAGAAAGGCAGGUUUUGUUACCAAAUACAGUCCUCACUGAGAAGCCAUGAUGGUUGUCUCCUCAAAGACAAGCAAAGCAUAUCAAAGCCUUUCAGAAGAAACCAGAAGGUACAAUAUUAAAUAAAAAUACAAAGCGAGCAGGAUUCACUGAUAAAGUGACAAAAAUGUGUGGCUUAUUGCUACCCCCUUGACAGUGAAAGCUUCAGAGCUCCUGCAUGACUGGAUUUACGGAGGUUUCAGAAAGUUGGCUUCUACAUGAUCAUGCCUCCUGAAAGCAGAGGCACCCCUGAAAUAAUACUUCAUUCUAUCAACAUGUUCUAAUCAUCAGCCCUUCCAUAAAGCAAUGAAACAAACUCUUACUUUAAUCUAGUUUCAUCUGUCUUUCUGCCUUUCCCCAGUUGUCUUCUGUUCUCUCCGUCCUCCCUGAAAGACUCACUCUCAUACCUCUAAAUCUUCCCCUUUAGGCUUCACUAAUCCUGUGUUUUUGAUUCGCAUUCAUAAAUUCUUUCUCUUUGUCCCCCAAUUUUUCCUCCUGCUCUGAUGCCCUGGUUAAUCCUUUCUUUAUCCCAUACUCUGGUGUCCCAGAUGACAAAUCCCUAAUUUAUCUGCUUGGUAAGCUUAAUCUUCACAGGUACCCAGAAUUCCUACCUUCAAUACCUUUCCCCAUCUAAAACCUCUACAACUCAGAUGCUCUCAGUUCCUACCCUCACAUCCUCCCCCCGCAUCAAUCUUCUUGAUUUCUUUGGCGAGACGUUUCAUAGUCCCUGGUUUUCUGAUCUGAGAGUACUGCAGCUACUGUGAGCAGAGAACAGAGGAUUUUCUGAUGAGCCAAAGGGCUGUGGAAAGAACACUUGUCCAACCAUGCUGUUACACACAGCCCCUGACCACUGCACUGAGGUGGGGCAAAGCGGCAAGAAAUAAAACAGGCAGGGAGACAAUGAGGUGGGGUAUGGUUUGAAGAAGCCACAAAUGGCUUUCCCGGUAUAAAAAGGAUGUAAUGGCCAGUGGCAGCACAUGUUAUGCAGCUAGCAGAUAAUAGUCAGGGCUAUAAUGGCUCAAAGAUGUCAGAUAAACCAGCAGGCAGUAAAUUGUGGAUGCUCCUGACUUAGUUUUGACAUGUAAAAUGAAAACAACAUUAGCAUUACUAGAUAAAAAGGGGAAUGUUUCACUCACUUUCACUAUAGUCUCAUAUUCCAUUUCUACUUCUGUUUUUCCUCUACUUCUUGUUCUUCUAUGCUCUUUAAAACAAAACCAAGGAUCAUUUCAAUUUGAUGUGAUUAACAAUUACUCUAAGCUGACAUGAUAUAAUUCCGUGCAUUACAGUAAAACAACAUCUCUUUCAUCUAUGCACUUAAUGAAAAACAAAGUAUUACUUCAAUGCUUCUGUGUGCUGGCUCAUUAAUAUUUGACUAGGAACACAUUAGAGAAACCAGUCUAUUUAUCACAACCUGUCGCUCCAUACUAAAUGAGGACUGUGUUAUGUGGGAGAUCUGGGUUCAGUUGAAAUUGCAGCUUACGCACAUUGCAAGAAGUGUCAUGUUUUUGUGGGAGGGGGGAAGCAGCAUGUAUCUGAAGGAAAAAAUGAGCAUCAGCCAUGCCAGCUGAAGCAUCCGCUUGAAGAAAUACCUCCGGCCAUUGCAGUCAAAAAGCCUUAAUACUGCAAUCAUGCCUAACGCCAUGAACUCGGUGCGGUUGAGAUGGAAAACCUUGCAGGACAGGAGUGGUGCUGCUCUUUGACCAGACAGCUUAUUCCCUCUGAGUCAGCCUCGCGCGAGCACCUGAGCAGGACGAGGGACAGGACGUGGUGCUGUUGGAGAUGUUACUGUCCACUUGCUUUCAUCCCAAGUUGGUGUUUCUCUCUGGAGCUGAAACUUCUGUUUGACAGUUCAAAAGAGCGGCAGGAUUUCCAGAUUGUCCCGUCAACCUGGAAUACCUGACGUGCUGCAGGCAGCUGCGCGCUGCUCGAGCUGACUCCGGGACAGCUGUGGUCCCUUGCGCACCACUCCGAGCAGCCUGAACCAAACUCUCUCCUGAAGAGGUCUAAGGUCUGGAUCAGAGAAGUCCUGAAGGUAAUCCAGAAGCAACCAAAAAGACUCAGGUGUUUUAGUUUCUGCAGUUACUAGAAGACAGCUAUAAAGUUAUAGCCGGAAACUGAAAUAAGGGUGAUAUUUUGGUUCUAAGUGCAGCCUUUAAAGAGCAUUGCCAGGCCAUUGUAAAGGGAGUGCAGUAUGUUUCAUUCUGUGUUAAGUUAUUGUGGUAACUGUCUUGUUUUACUCAAAAAUGAGUGUUAUUUCAGUAUUAAGUGAUUUACUGCUUUAUGUGGAUAGUAAUUGCAUGAGUAUAUUGCUGAACUUGAUCCUGUUUGUAGAAGUGAAAUCGCAGCUCUUUUAUGAUACAGUUGGUACCACUAAAAUCUUGACACUUCCCACAUCAUGUACUUUAUAUUCCAUCACGUAUUCAGCACAGUAUUGUAUUUACAUUGCCCAGGAGCCAGAGCUGUAAAGGCAUCCAGUGUAAUAUGGUGACAUUGGGUGAGAGUUAGCCCUGGAAUAAUUGCAUGUGAGUUCAUUGAGGUAAACUGUAUUUUGUCUUAGCUGUCAGGUUUGUUACAAAUCAAAUUGAAACUUGAAGCCUUCAAAAAGAAAUAGAAACAAACAAUAGCAGAAAGUUACGUUUUCUUGUUUAAUAUUCAAAGAUUACAUAGCUUAAUAACUGGAGAAGUACUUUUAAAGAUUUUCACAAAACAUUUCCUCGCAAAGCAUUUUUUUAAGCUGAAUAUACUUAUUGAUCACUUCCCUGGAAAUGGGUGAAGCAGCAGAACAAUAUAUUUGAGCACUGUGUCCUUGUUUUACUUUCAUGCAGAUUCAGAAAUGCCUUAUAAUUUGAGUCACAAUGGCAGGCAAGAAAAAUUACAAUUACCUAACAAUGUGGCUGGAUUUGAUUGAAAUUCUAUGUAACGGAACUUAUGCCACCUUCUUAUAUUCCAUUGCAACAAAUGAAUGAAACUAUUUUUGUUUAGUAUUUUCUCCUUGAACUCUUUCUCACCUUGGUAGCAGUGGGCUGUAAAACUAGUGCAUUAACACCAACACAAAUGGUGUUAUAAGAUACAUGUUGGGUAUAAGAUGGUCAGGAAAUGGGUGCCAGUGAUUGUGGCCGCUUGCACCACUUGGACAUGCAAAAUGCAUCUAAAAUAUGAGCUGAGGAAGCAGAAGGUGACAGUUUGUAGCAGGAAAAAUGUAGCAGCCAGAAGGUGAAAUGUAAAGUGAAAAAAGAAAGCUACUUUGUUUUGCAUAGUUCUUAGCACUUCUCCUGAUGCACUCUGUUUUUCUGUCCCUUUGAUCUAUAUACUUCACUGGUUUUGUGCUCCCACUGACAGACAAAUCAGAUAAAGUGCCUUACUUAAAAUUGACAAUUUUUACAAAAUUACAUGUAUGUUUGCAGCACACAAACAUUUAGUUCCCGUGGAUGUUGGCCUAGUUACUUCAAUGAGGCUUGUAACUACUGAAAGCAGGUUAAGAUUUGAUUAGAAAUUCCCUUAAAAUCAGUCUUGAAAAACACCGCUAAGCAUCCUCUUGCUAAAUAUUCUUAGUUUGUGCAAUGUUAUUGCUUUGCCUUACUUUUGGCACUGUUUUUAGCCAGCCUCCCUGUUAAAGUACGCGUCUGGGGUUGUCAAAGUGUGUGUCUACUUUGCGUGCAGGUAUGUAUGGGCUGGUGCUCAAACGGCAGGAGCCGGUGUGCGAAGUAGGCACGGCAUUUGCAGAUGUGCAGGUUUUACCUACCUGGAGGAUGAACAUCGGGCUCAAAGUAAGUCAACAUGUCAAAAAAAAAAAACAAAACAAAACAAAAAAAGCAACAUCCAAAAAUGAUAACAAACCAACUCUACUUGAUCCAAAUGAGGAUUUUGCCAUUGGUCAUUUAUCAAAACACAGUCCACUGAAAGAAACAGAGAUAUCUGGAUAGCAUGAAUUCCACCGGGAUAGGAAAUUAUAAAGUUAAAAGAUACAACUAUUUAGCUGGAGAGUACAUACCACUCCAACCCUAUAUUGUUUAUAGAGCUUUUAACAAUAUAGUCUGUGCACUUGCACCAUUAGGAUACUCCCGAUCCAAAUGACGCUCGUGUACCAGACGUAUAUUAUAUAUUUACCACAAGGGUUCUCACUAGUUUUGGAGCUCCAAAUGUCUUGCAGCAUAAGAAAGUGAAGAGAGAAACACAGGGAUUAAAACAAACCAACUUUCAAGUUCUUUUCUAUUCUGAUGGUCAUGACUGUAGUUGUCGUAAUUAACUGGUCUUUAAAAUCCCCAAGCAAAUUCUUGAUUCUGGUGUGAGAAUUGUAUUUCUGUAUGUACAGACACGGAAUUGAGCAGCUUUUUGUGAAAUCUCUGUUGCACACAUAAUACAACACAGAAAAGACGUAUACUUUCCCAAAUCAUCAUUAAGCAGCCAAAUAUCUAUUGCUUUCAUUAGUGCUGAGACUACAUUUUAGAGAAGACACACAUGGGAACUAGACUGUGGAAGAACACUAAUGACAGGGUGAUGUGUCCAAACACUAUCUGCUAUUCGAAGUCAAUUCUAAUGCUGGUUUCCUAGCAGUUUUCUGGAGACACCAGACAUCAGAAAGUCCAGAAAUCAGUCCUGUGCAAGUUUAACCUUUAAAAAUACUGAAGUUGAAUAUAUUCUGGAUUAUCUGGUGAUCCUGAAUGUAUCCUCACUUGUGCAAAGGGCCACAAAAAAGGCUGCAUUUUAUAUUUCUGGUUUCUAGGCUACUGUGAAGAGCUGUGGUGCAUUCUCAUUCAUGGUGACAUUACUGCAAGGAACUAAUGCUACAAUUAGUCCAGAUUAAUAUUCUUGCUAAUGCAUAGAUAUGUGGCACAGAACGUGGUUAUUUACCACAAUAAACCAUGCUGACCUAAGACCUCCAGUCAAAUGUUGUUAAUAUGACUGUAUCCUUUACAAUUAACUUUUAUGUACCUUUAAAACUGCAAUGAAGGAAAGUGUAUUGUGUCAGCAAAAGAGAAAGGGGAUACUGCUUAUUGACAAGAGCUGACUCACAGCACAUCAUUUAGUUCUCUUAAUAAUUCACACCUCUCUCAGUUAUUCAGUAACUUACACACGGUGCUGUUGGCUUUGCCUUUUGCAGACACUUUAAAGUGUUUUCUGGGACCACAGCAACACAAAAUCACCAUGUUAAAGAAGAACAGAUUUUAGAAAACACUAUGAUGGGCAAAGUUUUAAGAAAUAGUACAACCUGAGUGAUUUUUAGAAAUGAAACAUUCAUGCCUAACUCCGUUUCCAUACUAUACUGCUCUUAUCAAAGGUUCAGCUGGCUACAGGAGACUUCUUCACCAGCAGCAACUAGAGGGACAUAUUUCUGCUGAAACACUGACCAGCUAAUUAAGCAGCAAGCAGAGCUGACUGGCUACUCAACUGGGGAAAAAAGACAAGCCACCUGGAAAACAACACAUACUGUCCAUUAUUCAAUCAAAAGACCACAGAAAAGCAUCUUGGCCUUCAUGGAGGAAGCUCUGGCCUAAAUUACUAAGCCAUGACCCCUUUCCAACAUUUGUUUCCAGCUGUGUUGUGUGUUGUAGAGUUCAUCUUCAAAAUAAUGUGCCAGAUGUGUUUUACAUGAGUGUUCUGUAGACAGGUAUCUACACACAGAAGACUGAAUUGCAAAGCCAAGCAGAAAAGGAAGGGUAGAGGUCAUGCUUGCCCAUGGGUGUCAUCUGCAGCAAGGUUGCACAAACAGACACUUAGGACAAAAUCUAUCUCAUGGCAACACAAAAACAGUACAAAAAACAUUUAAGGCAAGCAACCUGGAGUUAUAUUUUGAAAGCUGUGAAAUCUUAUUAUAUUCUUUCUUGGAUCAGACAAGAUUCUCCAUGUCCCCGUCACAAAGACAAUGCACAUGUAGAUUUGCUUAUUAAUUGGUCCGAGACUGACUGUGAAGUAGACGGAGGAGGAAGUUCAGGAGGAAGAGAAUGGUCCUGGCUUUGAUCUCACUUGGUGAAACAGUUAAACCAAUUCUGAUUAAUUCUACCGUGUGCCAGUGAAAAUCACUGAUUUAACGACAAUGUGAGUGAAAGCAAUCACUACACAAUUUCACACAGUCCAACCACAGCAAGAGUAGUCUUCAUAUGCACUCCUAUUUCUCGCCUUGGGUAAGAAAAAUACAUUUCUAUUCUUGCUUCCCACUGAUUACUUCAGUUACAACCUUCUAAAAUAUCAACUAGUACUAUAAAACAGCUCCAAAGAUUAAGUCAGAAUAUGCAUUUUUCAUCUCUAAAAGAAAAACCCCAACCCGAGCCAAACCCCAAUACAAACUCCAGGCAGAGGAUCACUGAAGUUCUGUAGGUACAAAACAUUAUACAUAUCACCUUUCCUGUAUGUAGAAUAACAUUAAUUUGCUUGCAAGACAGAUGAAGAUCAAGCAAAUGGAAUUUAUUUAUCAGAAACAUACUUCCAUUAAUAUAACAAAUGACCGUUAGACACAAAAAGUCCAGUUUGGAACUCUGUUAUCCUCUGGUCAAGCACGAACAGUUAAUACACUGUGGUAAUGAGGCUGACAAGAUUGUGUGAAUUUCUCACUUAAAUUGAAAGUCUCAAAGACUAACUCAUUUAGGACACAGGCUUGCUCCACUGGAGUCAAUCUGAAUUUUGCUAUUGCUAUCAGCCAGAGUACAUGAAAAGCUCGCUCCAUGGCUGAGAGGUAGUCAGGCAAGCCCUGUGAAUCAACUGCUUAUCACAAAGAAGCAAAAAUUACUUUAAAAAUGGAAAGGAUGCUAAGGGAGUCAGUACUGCUAUAGCUAAUCCAGAACAGCAGGUCAGUGAGGGACUAUUUUAGGGUUCAUCAGCAGUUAUGAAAGAAUCCAUUCCAAUCUGGUCAAUUAAAGGAAAUGAAAGAAUCAAAGGGAGUUUGAUUACCUGUUGGAGUGGGCUAAGCAAAGAAAGCAACUAUAGAAAGACAUUGUGUUUUUACUAGGCAGAAUGAUUUUUUGUUAUUACUCAGUAAACACUAAAAUAACUGAAGUCAUGAGUUGACAUGGCCACCGAGAGCUUUAGCAACUACUCACUUCUUUACCAACUAAAAUAAAGCCAUUUUAGCUGUUCUAUAUGGGUCCCAUUAGCGUAAAGCUGGAUUCCUGUCUGAGUACCAAGGCUCCUAUACAGAAAACAAUCAGUGUUCACAAAACCUGUUGUACAAGAGUACGAAGCUGUCAAAGACUUUGUGCAAGAAUCUGCAUUACCAAGGACACUUUUCCUCUCAUAAAGACUUGGACUAGAUCACCCAUUUAAAAUAAUCCUUUGAUACAGAUUAAGCAUCUCAAAAUUUCAUGUUAAGCAAUUCUGAAUUUUCACUCAUCCUUCAAAACUCAAGUUUUAUAAAGAUGUAUAUAUGUGUAAGAACGUAACAAGAACAGGGAAGGCCCUCUGUUCUCUGCGGUGAACCAAAAAACUAAGAGAAAUCAGCUUAGCUCCAUCUUAAAAAUAGCUUUCUGUCCGCACAAUGCAUAAUUUUGAAAUAAGGUAUACAGUACCUAAAACUAGAACUACUUGUCCAAUGCCUAGUUAAGCAUCAGCUAACCUAGUUAUUUCUGUAAGAACGCAGCCUGCAGCAAUAUUGGCUCCAUCUUCCCUCUGUCCUUAUAGUAAACAGGUCAAAGAGAGUAAAACCCAAAAGCUUUUCGCUGAAACAUACUCGCUGCCCCAAUUUAGCAAGUGCACCACAUUAUUUGCUUGUUUUAUAGUGUAAAGUGUUCAUACAUGGAUUCUGUAAGUGAAGUAUUUUCAGGGGAUGUAAAAGACCAAGUUAUCUGAUCUCGACGGUGAGAUAGAAAUUGCUUAUCCAUAAAUGUCACUCAAAUUUGGAAGAUUGCAAAUGAAAAAGAAAUCUUCUCCUAUCCCAAAAUGUCAUUCUAAAUCACACCAGUACGUAUCCAAAGUGAUACCAAUAACAGCUCUGAAAUGAUUAUGAGCAAAUACCAGUGAAAUUGAGAUAAGCAUCAGGGAAAUGGAUGUCUCGUUGAUUCAAUGCUCCCUACAAAUGAAGUAGUUUAGCCGUCUUAUCUGACAAACUGAUUUCCUUUGCAACUUUCCGCAAGUCAUUUCACUGCUAAGGUCUCAACUCUCCCAUCUGCAAAAGUGUAUGAAAUAUACGUUAUUAGUUCAACUUUUAAUACUACUAGAAUCUGAAAGCAGUAGCGUAGUCUUGUCUUACAGAGCUAAUGUGAUAGCUUAGGCAAUUUUAGGUCUUUCUCUGUGUUAAAUAUAGCAGAUUGCACAGCUUUCCCCACAGUAAAAGGAGAUUUAUUUCCUAAGAAUGUUCAAAAUCCAAAUCCGUUUCCUAAUGAAAUGUCAGAUAAAAGGAUCUUUUACACACAGACCACAUCAAGAAAAUGUCAUCUCCCAAAAUUUCAUUAAACAUUAAAUGAUUGUGAAAUAAGCAAACAAAAAUAUUAUUUUUUUGACAAAUUGUUAUUAGUUCCAUUUACUUCCUAAGAUGUAAUACAUAUGCCAAUUAGUUCUUUGAAUGAGUCAAUGGGGGAAGUCCCUUCUGUCCCAAUGCUCCGUAUUCUACAUUAAGCUCGUUAGUUUGUGUCUAAGAACAGAUUUUCAGCUUCAUUCUUCUCUGAAACCAGAGUUCGCCUCAGACAGAUAAUGUAGCUGCUGCUGAUAAACUCAAGAUGCCUUAAUGUCAAUUUGCUCAACGGAGAAUCUUGCUUAUUUGGAACUAAUUUAGUACAGCAGUACCUGUUUAAAAUCAAUUCACAGCAGACUAUUUCCUAUUUAUUGCUAAUUAAAAUCAUGGAGUUCCUGUUCCAAAUGGCAUAUAACCCUGAAAAAUUAGCUACAAACCCAGUGUGUUAUUGACUCAACUGGUGGACUAUGUCUAGACUUACCACCUAAUUCUGAGGUUCAUAAGAACAACAACUGCAAGCAAUGACAAAAUGGCCAAAGUGAAGUCAGGCGAUGAGGGAAAAGUAGGAGCCACUCACUGAGAUUUGUCUUCUCAACAUUACGAAGUGCGGAACAGUUUAACCAUGGUUCUCAUCUCCUGCCCAGGGCACCAAGAGCACAGUAGGUUGGAACUCUUUCUCGGCACAUUAAAUCUGGGGAACCACCCAGCUUUUCUGUCUCAAUUCCAGCCCUUUCCGGCCUUGAAGAGAAUAAUACUCGAGUUGUAUGCCAAGCAGAUAUCUGCAGGUGGCAUCUGGGUUUGACCUUACCCACCCACACUUUUGUUGUCAGGUUUGUACAAAAAUAUUUUCAACUGAUUGUGCUGGGUGGAUAUAGGGCAAUUCUUUCACUUCUGGAACACAGUGAAGUCAGGAAAGGACACAAGCAUAGGAAGAGCUGAGAAAAAUGGGUAUUUAGAGUGGUACUGAAUUAAGGAAGAUGCCACCCAUUGCUCCUGAGUGUUCACGUUGCUGAGAUUUGAGUCUCUGGCCGGCAGUUACCGGGAAAGCAGUUCGUACUGGGCCAGGAAAAAAUGCUCUAUCAUGAUGCCAAACUUCCAGAGGACACGGAGAAGGGCAGUGCAGUCCAUGUCUCUUUUCACUAAACCUCAUAAACUGAAAGAAGAUGCAAUUACAGGAAGAAUGUGCAUUAUUUUGGCUUACUAGUGAAUCAACCCUUCUACUUCUCCAAAAAUCUUUGCCUCAUCCCCACAGCAAAAGUCUGAAAUCUGCUUAGGCUCAUCUUAGGGCGAUCUAAUCAAUCGCAGCAUCCUGAACUGAAUGUCCACCAAGAAGUUUAAGAUCCUAUGCUCAGAGUGAUGUACAAAUGUAAAAAAAAACCUCUAGGAAGCAACCCUGCAGAUUUCUGAACAGAAAUGUCUUCAGAGCUUUGGCAAAUCAGGUGCCAACAAAUGUCUCUUUAUUUGCACCAAGUCCAGCAACACAGAACCGCUCCUCUAAAGCUUUUAUUUUAUGUGCCCAGAUAAGCUGGUUGUCUGAGCACUGUACAUGCGGGUGAAUUUAGAGUUUAAUCUCUCAGUAAAUGUUAUGAAAGGUAACUUAAACAAACGUCAGUCUGGAAUAUGCCUAAUUCUCAAAAGCGACAGUCAUGCUCAUUUUAGAGCAAUCCCAUUCAGAACCAAUUGUAAGAAGAUCCAGACCCAAACUGUAACGAAUGUGGGCCAGCAGGUAAAAUUCUCAAACCAGAAAUAAGUGGAAGAACUCUUUAUUCACCAGGCUAAACAGACGGUGAUGAGUGAAGGCUACUAUGUUUUAAAAUGUUGCACUGAGUCUUACAAGACUUAAAAGGCAAACGCAAAAAUCUCAAUGCUUUAUAAAACCAGGCCUGAGCAUUCACAGCUUCAGAAGAAACUGGAUUUUAAAAGUGUUUAAUUUUGUUAACCAGCAUUUUCUUUUACACCCUAAAAAUACUUAUUCAAGAAGUUACCCUGGUUUGCCUCUUUUCGUUGUUGAAUUUUUUUUUAAACAGUGCUUGAAUAUAUCAAUCACAUUGCAAAAAAUAAAAUAGGUGUGUAUUUAAUGUGAUAAUCAUACUGAAUGUAUAUUCACUAGGUUUAACAAGAAAGAAGUAUUUCAAAUUGUCUUUCACGAUACAAGUGUUUACUUCAUCUGUUUGAAAACUCCGUUUAGGAAGUAAGUGGGGCAGGGACUGGCUUUGUGAGAGGCCGAUGCAGAACUGAACACUUCAGGGUGUCUGUUCCUGCUCGGAGCUAUUGAAAAUUCAUGAGAGCUACCACUGCUCAAAGAGAUUGGGUCCUACUCUAGCUGCAAAACAUAAGGAGACUAAAGCAAGCUUGUAAUAUAUUAAAUUUAUUCAAACUCCAUUCCCCCCCCCCUGAAGGAUGGCUUCAAUUCCAAUUUAUGGAUAAAUUAAAUUGGUGAAGCUAAAGCGGAUAGUAUCCCUAGCAAUCCUGCUUUCUCUCCUGAAGAUUGUGCCAUUCUUGCAGGCAUGGCUGAGCAAAUUCUGUAUCUGCUUGCUAGUUGCUCUUGCUUAAAUUAAUUAAGUGCAUUAAUGUAAUCUGCUGCCAACUGGAAUUUACAUUAACAGGCAGGAUCACAACUAAGGAAGAAAGUUGGGGGUUACAUAUCCCCCUUGGCCGACGGCAGGGAGAAAGCUCAGGUUGAAUGCAGCUGAUACAGUUCUCCAAGUGACCAAAGAAUGAGAACCUACACACUGCCUGUCAAGUCUGAUUAAACAACCAUGUUUUUGGUUCCCUUCAACCUCAUUGAGUAGUUCAACACGCCUGGCAAGCCAAAAAAGCCAGCAGUGCCGAGACUUUAUGAAAGGGAGUUGUAAGUGCCAGUGGGCAAUUCCCUCCCCUGCGGCAGGGCUGGGCUGGGCCAGGCCAAGGGCUGCAGCUCCCAGCCACCGGGGGAAUUCUGAAGUACCGGGAAGCGAUAUGAAUGCAAGCAAAUGUCUGCAAUAGCACUUAUUUUCUGUGCAUUUCUUAUCAAAUAAUGCAAUCAAAUUAAUAACAUGAAUAGGAAUACCAAUGCAUGUGUUGAUAUUUAGAUGAUGAAAUGUACCUCUGUUGUUCAGAGGACUAAACAGUUUCUGUACUUUGAAAGGUUGAAACACUCCAUUUAUCUUUGUCUUGUUUUCUGACAAAACUUAUUUAUUUACUGUAUGUCAGGGGAGAAACCUAAUUUCUAAGGACAUUUUCCAAUUAACUUUCUUAAUUAAAAGGUUAGACUCAAUUGGUUUAUAAACAGUACUAUUUAAAAGCACAAAAUACUAAGAUUCUGGGAAACAGCACUAUCAGAAACUAUCCCAAUUGUCAAUGUCCAGGUGUUACAGAUGUCUGGCAUUAUGAAUGCCCGCUCAUUUUUGCCUGAUAUGUACACAAUUUCAUUUGCUCCACAAGUCUCUUACGUUAUUAAGGAAUUAUUAUUCUCUUUGGUUUCUGUCAGUGCUAUAAGCAAGUGCUCACAUGCAAGUAUGCACUUUAAACUAUUUGCUUUAAUGAGUUUUAUGUUUAAGUUCUGCUCUGAAUAUGAAUCUGUAACAAGAGUCUCUGCAGAGAUCCAGCUUCAUGAAUUUGUGCUGGAAUCCACUAAUACCCUGGGAAACGUGCUGCUGCGCUGAUUCACACAUCUGCCAUUCAGACUGAGAUCUUUACAAAUCAAUGUAAAAACUCACAGUUUCAGGAGGGAGCGUCAUGUCAACUUGGGUCCAAUCAAAACCUUCCUGAAGUUACUCUAAGUCUUUCACGUUAUAACUUUGAAAUUAAUCCAGACUCAUGGAUAGAAACCUAGAGAUCGCAUUGCUGUGUCUGACUUGGUGAUCAACUAGAAAAAGACUCAUCCAACUGAAUAGUUCACAAGUACCAGAGAAAGAUUUAAAUCCAAUAAAGUGAAAAAAGAAGACUGCAAGCCACUUUAAAGCACUAAAAUUACUUAUUUCCCUAGUGCACUUAUACCAAGUGAAUAUACACACUUUUUAUGGAUACAAGGAUAUUUCACAUCUAAAAAUAACUUAUGCUGUACACUGAUUGCAAAUCUAGAUAUACCCAAAGCAGCCUGUAGCCAUAGGCCAAUUUACAAUACUUAUGUAAAAUAGAGAAAGAAAAUAAGCUGAAAGCAAAAAUCAGACAUUAUACUUGUCACAUAUCCGUUGUGAACAUAUGCAAUGAGUUAUUGGAAACUUUCUCUGACACACAGUAAUUUAGAUGAACAUACUUGUUAACAGCUUCAGUACUAUACCAGAUAGUUUUCCCAUAUGUUGAAAAAAUAAUCUUCAGUGGACAAUAAUAAUCUUAGGUUGUGAGAACAGGUAUUGUAUUUUCAACAUAUGAUAUAUUUCUCCUUUUGUAACGUCAGUCAGCUUUCAGCAAGAUGCAUUCUUAUCCUCAAACACAGGCAGCUGAGUCAACUGAAGGUAACGCCACCUCUUACACCCUCACCUAAACGCUGGCCUGAGAUGUUCUUUAUUAUGGGCAGAUACAAACAUAUGGGUAACGCUGCUCACGUCCUGACCGUCUGGCAACAGCUUCACACAACUUCUAAGCAGCAGUUUUCUUUACUUUACUACUAGAGAAACGGAAAUAAAUGUGGUUUGAUGCACUUACUGCAAGUAGAGGAGUUUCUAUGUUCCCAUAAAAUGCUUUCAGAAAUAAUAAAGUUGGAAACUCCAGUAGGGCCUCAUCGUAACUGGCGAAACCAAAUAACUCUGAAUUUUGAAAACAAUUAGUCCACAGUAUGUGAACACACAUUUUAAAUUAGCGUGUUUGUGUGCAGACACCAGCAUUGUAUUCUCAUUUGGUAGUGGCGUUUCUGACCGCAUGAGUCACAACGCGGGGAAGGGAGGCUGAGAAAACCUGAUGGCUUCCACACUUCAGGGCGCUUCCUUUGUUCAACAAGAAAAAUGCUACUUCUGUUCAGGACAAUAUAAGAGUGAACUUCUUUGCAUAUGUUAAAUCCGUUUUGCAGAUAGCACAGAACUUGGAAAUCCAUAAAUCUGCCUUUCCCCUUUUUUGUUUUCCAUACAAGGGAAUCUCUGACUUCACUGUUAAUGCAGUCAACUAGCAAAACUUGAGCAGACCACAAAACUCCUUAGUGGGAUUAGUGUUUUCAAACCAGGACUGGGAACCAUCAGAACUGGAUUCUAAUUUUGCCAUGUAGCCAUCUCACUCUGAAAGAUGCUUAAGCCAAAGAUUUCAAACACCGACCCCUAAAGUAAAGCAGCAAAAUACAAAGUUAACUAUGCACUCCUGGAGAGCCUUUAAUACACAAAAAAUGCCAUACUGCAUUGGAAACAACACAGGAAAGUUUCAUUAUACAUUGCUUUCUUUUUGGAAUUUUCUGUUCAUUUUAGAUUUCAGACCCACAGAUUUAAAACUCGGCCAAAUUUGUCUUGACAGUGUCAUUUCAACUGAGCUACAAGUAUCUAUUUGCUGGGUUCAGCUUCAGAGGCUUUUAAACACUGCUUGAAAAGCUAAGUUUCCACAAAAACAACCCUUAGAUAAUAUCUAGAAUCUCUCUUUUUAGCAGCAAUUGACUACAAUGAACCAUUUUCGCUUUUAUUUCAUGUCUUCCGCCUCAUUUGUACCUAACCCUGAAUUUCAUUGAAUCCUCAGUCAUUCACUGAAAUAUAAGUAUGCCUGUAGCAAUUAAAGUAAUCCCUGAUUUGAAACUAAAUGUAGCCAUCACUGACAAAGUGCAGACUAGCAAACUGGUAGUAGCGACCCUAAGAUUUCCCAGACUUCGGGAUUUUCCCCUCAAGUAUUCUUGUGACGGCAGGUAACCCUCCUGUAGUCUCUGCUCAGUGGACCAAUCCUGUUACCAAGGUCACCUUUGCAAAAUUAUAUUUGCAUCCAGCUGACGUUGAUUCAUGUUGCCAGAUGGCGAAGGACAAAGCACAAUCGCUCAACGCAACGCGUGACCUACUUACAUGCCUAACAAUCUGCUGUUUAAUACUCUGGAAAUGCAUAGAGACUUUGAUUAAAAAUUUAAUUUUGUUUCAUAGUUAGCCCACAUGUGGCAUAUACAUUUUGCAUACCAGAUACAUCUGUUCCAACAGGGUGGUAGCAUGAUGCCUCCAACUUCUUUCUAAAACAGGGCAUAUGAAUGCCUGUCAUUUCCUUAUUUACUAAAGGAAUUCUUCAAAAUAAUUAGAAGCGAUUGGUUUACACACAGACAACUAAUGAAGAGCCAAACACUCUCAUGCUGGCACCACAUAAAUAAUGACAACAGUAAUAUGUCAGCUCUAGAAAGGAAGAAUGAAGAUAUGAUACACACAAAAGUCAUGUAGAGUUUCUAAUAAAAAAUACAGAGGUCAUGGGGAGACUCUUUGUCUGUGCUUAAAUAAAGAUAAGUGGGACAACAUAA